CCUACGGGUGGCAGCAGUGAGGAAUAUUGGUCAAUGGCCGGAAGGCUGAACCAGCCAAGCCGCGUGAAGGACGAAGGUGCCAAGCAUUGUAAACUUCUUUUGUCAAGGGACAAAAUCAGGCUCGAGAGCCUGACCGAGGGUACUUGAAGAAAAAGCAUCGGCUAACUCCGUGCCAGCAGCCGCGGUAAUACGGAGGAUGCGAGCGUUAUCCGGAUUUAUUGGGUUUACAGGGUGCGUAGGCGGGCUGUUAAGUCAGCGGUAAAAGCCCGGGGCUUAACCCCGGCGAGCCGUUGAAACUGCAUGGCUGGAGUGCGGGAGGGGCAGGCGGAAUUCCUGGUGUAGCGGUGAAAUGCGUAGAUAUCAGGAGGAACACCGGCGGCGAAGGCGGCCUGCUGGACCGCGACUGACGUUGAGGCUCGAAAGCGUGGGGAGCGAACAGGAUUAGAUACCCGAGUAGUC
rnacentral:rRNA from 1 species